rnacentral:rRNA from 1 species
UACGUAGGUGACAAGCGUUGUCCGGAUUUACUGGGCGUAAAGAGCGCGCAGGCGGUCGGUCAAGUCGAGUGUGAAAGCCCCCGGCUCAACUGGGGAGGGUCAUUCGAUACUGAUCGACUCGAAGGCAGGAGAGGGUAGUGGAAUUCCCGGUGUAGUGGUGAAAUGCGUAGAUAUCGGGAGGAACACCAGUGGCGAAGGCGGGUCUCUGGGCCGAUACUGACGCUGAGGAGCGAAAGCGUGGGGAGCGAACAGG